CACCUCUCGGAGCUGGGCGCAGGUCCUGGAGAGGCUCUUCCUGCUGUCCUUGUCCAGGAAGGAGAAGAGGUGCAGCAGGCACUCCCGAUUGAGCUGCGUUAUGUGCAUGGUUUUUCUCUUCAUGUAAUGUGUACCAUGUGUUUGCAGUACCCCCAAGAAGCCAGAAGAGGGCACUGGAUGGCCUUGUAGGAUUUGCCGUGAGCUCUGUGCUUCCUAGCCCAUGAGAUAUUAAGUUAUACCACAAGCUGCUUCUGUGCCCUUCCCACCAGGAUGGACUGUAACCUCUUACACCAUGAGUCAAAAUAAACCCCUUCUCCUCUGUGCUGCUACCACAGCAAUGAGAAAAGUAACACAGAGAAAAGUGUUACCAAGAAAUGUUGUCUUUGUUGUGGUAAGUCUGACCUUUUUUGAUUUGUGGGCCUUUAGAACUGGUUUGUAGAAAGAAUAUACAAGUUUGGAGCAGCUAGGUAGAGAAGCCCUAGAAUUCUGUCAGCAGCAUAAUGGCCACUCUGGCAGGAGUGUGGAAGAUCAGAACACCAACAGAAAUGCAGACAGUAAAACAGGCUAAUGAAGGUUCAAGGACUUUAUUGGAUUGGGCAUUCAGGCUACAAUCUGUAACAUCUGCCUGUGUCCUGCUACCCUGAGUAAAGCUGAACUAUGCUGUGGACUAGCUGAUUUAUUUGGUGGAGGAAAUUUUAAAACAGUGUAGUAUACAGGUUGUAGUAUAGCUGUGGCUCACUGCUUUUGGCCAGAUUUACAGAAAGGAAGAGCAAACAUUAAGAACAUAUGCAGUUGAUGAAGGGGGUAUGUGAGCAGAUUUGAAACUCUGAAUGAAGUGGCCUGAACAAAGAGACUGUUGUUAAAAAGAUUAAUGCCAUUAAGACAAAUCUCAUAGUAAUGAGCCAGUGAGCUGGCUCGGCGAGUGAGUAAAGGCACUUGCUGCCAAGUCGGACAACCUGAGUAUGAUUGCUAGGACCCACCCGGUAAAGGAGGGAACAGAUUUCUCCAAGUUGUCCUCUGACCUCCACAUACACACAAAUGUAAUACAAUUUAAAUGUUUGCACUUUAUGUUGGGACAAUAGGAUUUGUAAUACGACAGUAGGGUCCUUGAGGGAAGACGUCACUGACAGAAGCCUCCAGGGCAUAACAUACAAAUUCAUUGGAAAGGAGAGGGCUUGAAUAGUACAAGGUUAGAGUCUCUAGUAACACACAAAUAGGACAACCUAGGGAAAUGUCCAGGUCCAGCUCUGCAGGAGACUUGACACAUGUACAAGACUUACAGGUGAUCACACAUUUCCAUCUCUACAUAAUAAAUUCAACAUGCCCCUGAAAGUGGUUUAAAAGGGGGAGAUGAUCAUUUUGAGUUCAUAUUUUUAUUCAGUGAGGAGACUUUAGUUCCAUUCUUCUGUAUAUGUGGAUACAAUUUUGUUAUCAAAAGGCUUUCCUUUAUCUUCUGUAUGUUUUUUGCAUCUUCAUCAAAAAGUAGUUGGCUGUAUCAACAUGGACUAAUUUCUAGGUUCUUUCAAUGUCAGUCACAUACUUUAUUACUAUACAGCCUUUGGUAUUAUGACUAUUUCUAAUGUGUUUAGAAUUCAUCAAACCUUUUUUCUAUCACAUAUAUUACAAUAACUGCAAGGAUUCUGUCCUUCAUUUUGUUGCUAUUCUGUAUCAUGUUUAUUGGUUUGAGUAUGUUGAACCAUCCUUGCAUCCCUAGGAUGACUCCCACUUGGUUAUGUUGUGGCUUUUUUACAUUUUAUUUGUGUACUACAUUUUCUAUUUUACAGAAACAUUGGUAUGCCAGCUCCUUUAUAUCACCACAGGAAGAUACUGAGUGAUGCUUUAUGAAGACAGCUGGGCAGAAUUCCUUCCAUCUCCAUUUGUUGUAGCUAACACAUACUAAUUGUACAGAUCAAUGGUUCACUGUGGUGAUGCCCAUCAUGCCCAUCAUUUCUACUUUUAAGUUGUUGGUGUGUCUUCAUUUUCAAGUGUGAGUAGGAACAUGUGAUCCAUAUCUGUGUCUAGCUUAUUCACUUACCAUGACAUCCUCUGGUUCCACCCAUUUCCCUGUAAAAGACAGAUCUACCAGGCCAGUGUAAUGGUGUCCAGAGACAGGAACAUCAAGGAAGGUGUGGGCCUUCAAUUACUGUUUCAAGCCCAUUACUCAUCUGUUUAUACUUUGUGUUUCUUGGCUAAAUUUUGGUAGGUUGUAUGUGUUCAGGUAUUUACCCAUGUCUUGUAUAGUUGUUCAUAAUUUCUUUGUAUUUUUAUGGUAUCCAUCCUCUCGGGUUUUUUAUCUUUUCAAAAAGCUUUUCCAUUUUCCUAGUAGUUUCAAUUGUAUUUCCAAUUUGACCUUUAUUCUGUCCAUCUUUAUGUAUAUAUUUGUUGCAUCGCCUCUAUCAAUAUUACUUCUAAUAUGUUGUCAUUAUCAUGUUUCUAGAUGUUUUAUUUCCUUCUGUCUUCAAGGUCAUUUAAGAGCAAGUUGUUUCCCUUGUAUAUCCUCCUUGAUUUACAGUUUUACUCUGUUGUGACUUCUUUGUUUUGAGACAGGAUCUCACCACAUAGCCCAGGCUGGCCUCAAAUGUGAAAUUUUCCUGGCUUCCCUAGUGCUGGGAUUACAGGCAUGGACCACCACACUGAGACUUCCAUGUUUGACCUAGCAUCUGAUCUUUCCUAAAGAAUACUGCAUGUACUGAAAAGAACGUGUACUCUGCAGCUGCAAUAAAUAUUCUGUAAAUGUU